CAGGAAGAGCGAGCUUGGCUCACAGGCGUCUCAGGCUUUCAAGGUGAACUGUACUCCUGGAGAUGUGCUCCUCGGCAAAGACUGGGAGAGACGGAGGGGAGGGGGCCAGAUCAAAGCUGCCUUUGAACUUCCUGAACCUCCCUCGCUGCUUGGCUGGUCCUCUGUUACCUGGGAAUGCCUUCUCCUCUCCCCGCUUUUGCCCAAGGUAUUAAAAUGGCUGGCACAAAGAUCGAAGAGGAACAGAACAUGUGUAAUGGGAAUAUCACCUCCGCUGUUCACUUGUUCUUGAGAGAAGGAAAAUUACCUUGGUAAUUAUUUUUUAAUUGAAAAUUAAUAUAAGAGGUGGGGG
rnacentral:lncRNA from 1 species